UCGGCAUGCUGCCAACGUCUGCCUCGUCAUUGUAAACAUACAAAGCCCCAAAAAGAAACUGAGCAAAUAUUUCCUAAGUUGCAUCUUUCUGGGUCCUCUGAAUUGCAGAAAAGACCUGAAGAGCUGCUCCAAACUGGGCAGGAGUACAGAACCUCUGAAAGGAGCAAGAAAUAUUUCCAACAUGAAAGGCGCCUUUUUUACUUGCAUCAUAUGUAUCAUCUUGCCUUUCUUGAUAUGGCAUCAUCCAG